rnacentral:rRNA from 1 species
AUUGAACGCUGGCGGCAGGCCUAACACAUGCAAGUCGAGCGGAGCGGCGGGCGGGUGAGUAAUGCCUAGGAAUCUGCCUGGUAGUGGGGGAUAGCGUACGGAAACGGGCGCUAAUACCGCAUACUAGCAGAUGAGCCUAGGUCGGAUUAGCUAGUUGGUGGGGUAAAGGCUUACCAAGGCGACGAUCCGUAACUGGUCUGAGGGGAUGAUCAUUCAAACUGGAACGUGGAAACGGUCCAAGAUCCCACGGGAGGCAGCAGUGGGGAAUAUUGGACAAUGGGCGAAAGCCUGAUCCAGCCAUGCCGCGGGGGUGGAGAAGGUCUUCGGAUUGUAAAGCACUUUAAGUUGGGAGGCGUUACCAACAGAAUAAGCACCGGCUAACUUCGUGCCAGCCGCCGCGGUAAUAC